UCAAGAGUUGUUUGAGAGUACACUUGACAAAGAUCAGAGAUGCUCAUUUCAAAGUGGUUCUAAAGGAUCAGGCCGAGUCUAAAGCAAUAUAGCAUUCUCCAGUAUCUAGCUACAGCCCUGACGAGUGGUGGAUAUCUGCGCUACAGCUGAGACACAACAUGAGACCAGCUUUUUAGACCCACUAGAAUAAAAAUAUUAUGAUUUAU